rnacentral:rRNA from 1 species
GCGGCAGCUUAACACAUGCAAGUCGAGCGGUAACAGAGAUAGCUUGCUAUCUGCUGACGAGCGGCGGACGGGUGAGUAAUGCUUGGGAAUAUGCCUUUGAGUGGGGGACAACAGUUGGAAACGACUGCUAAUACCGCAUAACGUCUACGGACCAAAGGGGGGGAUGCUUCGGCACCUCUCGCUCAUUGAUUAGCCCAAGUGAGAUUAGCUAGUUGGUAAGGUAAUGGCUUACCAAGGCGACGAUCUCUAGCUGGUUUGAGAGGAUGAUCAGCCACACUGGGACUGAGACACGGCCCAGACUCCUACGGGAGGCAGCAGUGGGGAAUAUUGCACAAUGGGCGAAAGCCUGAUGCAGCCAUGCCGCGUGUGUGAAGAAGGCCUUCGGGUUGUAAAGCACUUUCAGCGAGGAGGAAAGGUUAGUAGUUAAUAGCUGCUAGCUGUGACGUUACUCGCAGAAGAAGCACCGGCUAACUUCGUGCCAGCAGCCGCGGUAAUACGAGGGGUGCAAGCGUUAAUCGGAAUUACUGGGCGUAAAGCGUGCGUAGGUGGUUUGUUAAGCAAGAUGUGAAAGCCCCGGGCUCAACCUGGGAACUGCAUUUUGAACUGGCAAACUAGAGUUUUGUAGAGGGUAGUGGAAUUUCCAGUGUAGCGGUG